GCCGAAUCAUAUCUUUUGCCUGAUCCUAUGGAGGAAGUAAAGGCUGCAUCUCUAGAGCUUUUAGAUGAACCAGACUUAGAAGACGAAACUCCUUUCUUCACAGAAGAAGAAGCCGAACCUUCUGAACCUGAACUCUUAGAUGAGUUUGCAGAAACACCUAGACCCCCCAUAGAGCUUAAAACUUUACCACCCGGUCUUACAUAUGCUUU
rnacentral:lncRNA from 1 species